rnacentral:rRNA from 1 species
UACGUAGGGUGCAAGCGUUGUCCGGAAUUAUUGGGCGUAAAGAGCUCGUAGGCGGUCUGUCGCGUCGAAUGUGAAACCCCGAGGCUCAACCUCGGGUCUGCAUUCGAUACGGGCAGACUAGAGUUCGGUAGGGGAGUCUGGAAUUCCUGGUGUAGCGGUGAAAUGCGCAGAUAUCAGGAGGAACACCGGUGGCGAAGGCGGGUCUCUGGGCCGAUACUGACGCUGAGGAGCGAAAGCAUGGGUAGCGAACAGG